AUAUGUAUAUGCCAGUAUAUGCCAGAAUUGGGAGGGUACAGAGAAGAUGAGCAUGGCUUCCGCACAAGGAUGAGAAGUAAAAUGUAACCAGAGUUCUUUAUAGAUUUUU